rnacentral:rRNA from 1 species
AACGAACGCUGGCGGCAUGCCUAACACAUGCAAGUCGAACGAGACCUUCGGGUCUAGUGGCGCACGGGUGCGUAACGCGUGGGAACCUGCCCUUAGGUUCGGUAUAACUCCCCGAAAGGGGUGCUAAUACCGGAUAAUGUCUUCGGACCAAAGAUUUAUCGCCUUUGGAUGGGCCCGCGUUGGAUUAGCUAGUUGGUAGGGUAAAAGCCUACCAAGGCGACGAUCCAUAGCUGGUCUGAGAGGAUGAUCAGCCACACUGGGACUGAGACACGGCCCAGACUCCUACGGGAGGAAGAAGUGGGGAAUAUUGGACAAGGGGCGAAAGCCUGAUCCAGCAAUGCCGCGUGAGUGAUGAAGGCCUUAGGGUUGUAAAGCUCUUUUACCCGGGAUGAUAAUGACAGUACCGGGAGAAUAAGCUCCGGCUAACUCCGUG